rnacentral:rRNA from 1 species
UGUCGAAAUCGCAUGCUCCGGCCGCCAUGGCGGCCGCGGGAAUUCGAUUAGGUAACCGUAGAGUUGAUCCUGGCUCAGAUUGAACGCUGGCGGCAGGCCUAACACAUGCAAGUCGUAACAAGGUAACCGUAAAUCACUAGUGAAUUCGCGGCCGCCU